rnacentral:rRNA from 1 species
UACGUAGGGGGCAAGCGUUGUCCGGAUUUAUUGGGCGUAAAGGGCGCGUAAGCGGUUUCUUAAGUUUGGAGUGACAGUGGGUGGCUUAACUACCCAAGGCCUUUGAAAACUGGGGAACUUGAGGACCAGAGAGGGACAUAGAAUUCCGGGUGGAGUGGUGAAAUGCGUAGAUAUCCGGAGGAAUACCAAAGGCGAAGGCAGUGUCCUGGAGGGUGACUGACGCUGAGGCGCGAAAGCUAGGGGAGCGAACAGG